CCCAUCUGCAUAUGGGUAUCCUACCUGGAACCAGCAAUGAUGUCUAUGGAUUUUUCAGUGUUCAGGAGAGUUCCAGCAGGAAGUCGUGAGAAGAAAAAUCCCAUGAGGAGAAGCACACUAUGAGGAAGCACACCCCCAUGAGGAGGAGUGCCCAUUUGAAGGAGCACUCCAUGGGGAGGAGCCGCCCUUGGAAAAGCCAACUUUCUGGGAAACCAGGCUCUACAGUGCAUUCAUUCUCCCUAUGUUGUGCUCUCUUCUGGAAAGUAGGAUAUCAGACAUCAUAGUGGGAUGGAGAAACACUGCCUUACUCUCUCUAAAAGUUCAGUGUUGGGACUGGAGAGAUGUCUCACUGCGGAAGGUGCUUUUGUCAAGGUUGAUGACAGGAAUUCACAUCCCCAGAAA
rnacentral:lncRNA from 1 species